rnacentral:tRNA from 1 species
GGGGAAGUAGCUCAAACGGUAGAGCACUUGCCUUUCAAUCAUGAGAUACGGGGAAUCACACACCGCAUUUCCA